GCCUGGCUAGCUCAAUCGGUAGAGCGUCAGACUCUUAAACUAGUCCUAUCUGAAGGCUGUGGGUUCGACCCCCACGUUAGGCU